UGCAGCCGUUCCUGCAGUGCCGGAUGUCCCCGCGAGCUCCAUCCUUCCUUCUAGCUGUCCCGGGUAGCGCGGCAGGGCUGAGGAGCACCGCUCCGGUUGUGCUGAAUCAGACAAAUCGCGUUCAUGUUAGGCCAGGACCUCAUUUCAGAGAGGUUUAUUUAUUCUGAAACAUGACUUAUUCUGAACACGUACUGACAGACACUUCAGGCCUUCCUCCUCAGAUGCUCCAACCACCAGCGGUCUCCCAUGUGACUGAGGUGGGAAACUUGGAUAUUUAGAAGCUAUGGGUGAGAAAACCUGGCCAACAUCCACUAAUCCUCCCUCUGGUGUGAGAACACAACAGAACUUUGGACAGCAAGGCAAGGUGGCACGUGUUCCACAACUCCUGCAGCAAAACACUGGUAGGAGCACUUCUACUCUUCUCUCACACAUAGCUCAGCAGAGCGAACUGACAAAUAGUUUACUCUGUAAUAGAAAGGACUUAUCUGAACUUGGGAAGCAUGAUUUAACAAACAACUGCAGUAGGGAAACUAAAAGGAUGCCUGCAGGCUGACUUUCAGAUGUUCACAAUGUAAAACCUCUAUUUGUCCUUUUCCAGUAUGGCCUGUAUAAAAAAAAAAAAAAAAAUAAAUGGAUAUAUUUGUAUUUGGUUCCUAUUUCUGUUACUAAGGAUACAGCCUUCAACACCUGGUAGGGUAUAAUAAAUACAAACUUCACAUCAUUAAUAGGGAAUUGUCUAUCAGAAUGAACUUAAUUUUAACAGGAAAGGUAACCUGAUGAACUAAUAAGGGAUUUCUUAAAGGAAAAAUACAAGAUCUCUUAAGACAAAGGUAACUUGUUACUUCUCCAUUUAAGAUCAAAGAAGGAAGGAGUACAAGGACACAAAAACAGAUCAUUUGAAGCUUCACUUUGCUCUCUAACACUUUUUUCUUUCCUUUUUUUUUGUUAAGCUCAGUACAACCUCUAGGUUCACCCUAUAGAGAAAGAAGAUGAAACAAGGGAUGUCAUACACAGCCCAAAAGAACUCUGGGCAACUUUGCUGAAUGUGUUUAAAGCUACUGAACUUCACAAUUUUUAUUUCAGAAGUAAAAUGAUAAACAAAAAACAAAGCACUUUUAAUCUUCAAAGUAAUGUAUGAUCAAUGACAGCUUCGCAGCACUUGAUUGUCAAGCAUCAUAAUCUGUAUUUUACUCUGGGAGGAAAAGAUGCAUAGAGAAUAAGUGAUCUGCCCGGGUCUAAUGCUGAAACAAGGAUGGAACUCAAACAUCACAAGCUUGUACAUUAAACCACAAAAAUCACACUUCCAUCUAGAAGCUUUUCUUUUGUCACCAAUUUUUAUUUGAGCAAAUGAUUAUUAUAAUAAAUAGAACACUUUUUUUCCAGCCCCUGGAGAAACAUCAGAUACACUGAUGGAGGUACAUCUCAGAAUUAUUUGGCUGUAUCUUCAGCAUAGCACACCAAUUACCUUUCUACACCUCUGACAUUCAUUUAACCACUUCAAGCAGGUUACCUUAAAGAACUAUCUGCUAGGGCCAGCCAACAUAUAAAUAGCCUCAUACUGGCAACACCUUCCUGGUUAAAUUACAUUUAUAGCCCAAACAUCCCACAGGAAAUAACCAGCCUCUGGGUUAGAGCUGUGCUUUCUGGAAGGGAAGUUUGACUGGGUAAACUGAAUCUUUCAAUAGUCUUCCCUCUGCCUCUUCUUUGCCCACCUAAAUCACAAGGGAUCUUUUCAAGAGGAGAAGCAGCACAACAUUAAGAUGGUACUGAGUCAAAGAUCAGUUUAAUGGCAACUCUACAACUGCCUGCAGUAUGGGAAGUUUGGAAAAAAAAAAAAGAAAAAAAGAAAAAAAAAGCUGAAGUGUUUGCAAAUCAAUUUUAAAAGUUUUGUCUAGAAUCGUACACCUCCCUGAAACUGCAAGGAAAGAUUUCCAUUUAAUUGCACAGUAAACUUAUUGUGAUCUAGGGGAUUGCUGAGAGAUUUCAUUUACAUGCUAAUGCUGCAAGCAGUUUGGGAGAGGGAAAAGAGUUACUUAGCACCAGUAAUGAGCAGAAAAAAAAAGAAGGCAGCUACAGUCCCCAUGGACUGUUUUGUUUUUAAUAACUUUAGACUGUCUAAUAACACCUUUAAUAAGCUGUUCUCAGCUAUAAAGCUGCAGUCAGCCUUUGUCAGAGAAGAUAAUGCUGCCCCAGACAGGAAAACAAUUCUGAUAUGAUGCACAAAAGACCCCCAUCUAAACAGAAGUUUCUUAAAAAACAGAAAUGAGUAAACCAUUAGUGCAAGAGGCAAAUUAUGCAGCCCCUACUGCGCAUUCUUUCACUUCUGAAAGACUAGAUUUCAAAAUGUUAUCUAUUUCAGCAAAAGUAUUCUAAAACUCCCAUUUUGCUGGUUUACUUUACUCCAGGUCCUAACUUACAAUUAGACAAACUUAUUUACAAUGUACUCAUUCCCUGUAAAUGCCAUCUAAAUUAAGACUGAUCAUAUUAAUUUUCUGUUUAUAGUUCAUGUUACCUACUUAUUCUAAGUGACAGACAUUAACACUGCAGUGGGCCAUUGAAAUUUAAGACUUCAUUCAUUCCACUUGGUUUAAUGGCAGUUCUCACUGAGGCUCAGGGUCUUGCAGAAAAGCCUGUGACACUCACACAGUAAUUCCACUAUAUUAACUACAGGACUCCUCAGAACAGCAGGUCACCUUCAUCCCUAUAGAUCCCAUCUAUGUCCUUUUCUCUAGCUACUGGUAGGGUAGAAUAAGAAGGAGAACAAGUAUGAAGCUCAAUUAAGAAACAUCUUGUUGUUUUUCCUGAUAAAAUUAGAUCAGUACCUGAAUGUAUGCCAAGGGUAAAGCAAACUUGAAAUGCAAACUACAAAACCUAAAAAAUCUGAGGCUUCCAGUGAGCUCAACUAAUUCAGUACUAACAAGUAUGGAAUGACAAUGUGAAGGUGCCAGUACAGCAAGAAAAAGAUACAAAAGAUAUUUCAUACUGAUUUCACAAAGAAAUACGAAACAUAAUUUCUCAAAAAGUCAAACAGAUCUAAAGUCCCAAGUAGUAUUUUCCACAAUCAGAGCUAAACAUGUGACCAGAUUUUAAAUCCUCCUGUGCUCUGAAAUGAUUCAGGGUUUUAACCUCCCUGUGGAGGCACUGACCUUCCCCUCUGCACAGCAGCACCACCUGGUAAUUAGACAGCUACACUUGCACCAAUUAUGUAAUGAGACCUUUCUCCCCUUUUUUUUUUUUUUAAACUUGUUUCUACUUCGUUGCUAUUCUGUGCUACCUCAGAAAUCCUGGGAAAUAACGGUAGCACGCAGUUCUAUACCCAGAGCUCAAGUAAGAGGUCAACAGAAAGGGCUUUCUCAUUGCCAUUUCCUAGCAAUGCCCUGUCAUUUCAAUACACGAGGUUAAAUUACUCCAGAAGUCUCCCCACAGGGCUUCCAUUGUUAGUCAAUCACGGCCGGGACACAAUGGCACUCAUUCAUGUGCAUAGCAAACAAGUAGA